rnacentral:lncRNA from 1 species
UCCGUAAAUCUCAAGUAAAACCUACAUAAAAAAUGUCCGCUCCGAGAUUGAAAAACUUAUCUGUUACAAAACUUGUGCUGAAAAAUGUACAUUUUAAGAAAAUAAUCCUUAAACGUGUUUUAAAGUUACACCGGAUCAAUUAAAUCCAAAUCAUGCACUGCUGGUGAACUGUGAACAAAAUGUCAAUUUCCUACAAUGACAAAAGAAAUUACAUUGUGUACAUUCCAUCUCUAUAGAUGUUGUCUGUUUAACGUCCCCACCUAAAAAGAAAUAAAAAGACUAAGUUUUUGUUAAUAUAAACCCACGUCACGUGGUGUCUCCUCAAUCUGGCGCGCGCGCUGUACCUAAAAUAAAAUAAAAACUUUCCAAACUAAACAUGAAACUUCUCCGGUAACACAAUAAUAUAGAC